rnacentral:rRNA from 1 species
AUGCUGGAGGUAUCAGAAGUGCGAAUGCUGACAUAAGUAACGAUAAAGCGGGUGAAAAGCCCGCUCGCCGGAAGACCAAGGGUUCCUGUCCAACGUUAAUCGGGGCAGGGUGAGUCGACCCCUAAGGCGAGGCCGAAAGGCGUAGUCGAUGGGAAACAGGUUAAUAUUCCUGUACUUGGUGUUACUGCGAAGGGGGGACGGAGAAGGCUAUGUUGGCCGGGCGACGGUUGUCCCGGUUUAAGCGUGUAGGCUGGUUUUCCAGGCAAAUCCGGAAAAUCAAGGCUGAGGCGUGAUGACGAGGCACUACGGUGCUGAAGCAACAAAUGCCCUGCUUCCAGGAAAAGCCUCUAAGCAUCAGGUAACAUCAAAUCGUACCCCAAACCGACACAGGUGGUCAGGUAGAGAAUACCAAGGCGCUUGAGAGAACUCGGGUGAAGGAACUAGGCAAAAUGGUGCCGUAACUUCGGGAGAAGGCACGCUGAUAUGUAGGUGAAGCGACUUGCUCGUGGAGCUGAAAUCAGUCGAAGAUACCAGCUGGCUGCAACUGUUUAUUAAAAACACAGCACUGUGCAAACACGAAAGUGGACGUAUACGGUGUGACGCCUGCCCGGUGCCGGAAGGUUAAUUGAUGGGGUUAGCGGUAACGCGAAGCUCUUGAUCGAAGCCCCGGUAAACGGCGGCCGUAACUAUAACGGUCCUAAGGUAGCGAAAUUCCUUGUCGGGUAAGUUCCGACCUGCACGAAUGGCGUAAUGAUGGCCAGGCUGUCUCCACCCGAGACUCAGUGAAAUUGAACUCGCUGUGAAGAUGCAGUGUACCCGCGGCAAGACGGAAAGACCCCGUGAACCUUUACUAUAGCUUGACACUGAACAUUGAGCCUUGAUGUGUAGGAUAGGUGGGAGGCUUUGAAGUGUGGACGCCAGUCUGCAUGGAGCCGACCUUGAAAUACCACCCUUUAAUGUUUGAUGUUCUAACGUUGGCCCCUAAUCGGGGUUGCGGACAGUGUCUGGUGGGUAGUUUGACUGGGGCGGUCUCCUCCUAAAGAGUAACGGAGGAGCACGAAGGUUGGCUAAUCCUGGUCGGACAUCAGGAGGUUAGUGCAAUGGCAUAAGCCAGCUUGACUGCGAGCGUGACGGCGCGAGCAGGUGCGAAAGCAGGUCAUAGUGAUCCGGUGGUUCUGAAUGGAAGGGCCAUCGCUCAACGGAUAAAAGGUACUCCGGGGAUAACAGGCUGAUACCGCCCAAGAGUUCAUAUCGACGGCGGUGUUUGGCACCUCGAUGUCGGCUCAUCACAUCCUGGGGCUGAAGUAGGUCCCAAGGGUAUGGCUGUUCGCCAUUUAAAGUGGUACGCGAGCUGGGUUUAGAACGUCGUGAGACAGUUCGGUCCCUAUCUGCCGUGGGCGCUGGAGAACUGAGGGGGGCUGCUCCUAGUACGAGAGGACCGGAGUGGACGCAUCACUGGUGUUCGGGUUGUCAUGCCAAUGGCACUGCCCGGUAGCUAAAUGCGGAAGAGAUAAGUGCUGAAAGCAUCUAAGCACGAAACUUGCCCCGAGAUGAGUUCUCCCUGACUCCCUGAGAGUCCUGAAGGAACGUUGAAGACGACGACGUUGAUAGGCCGGGUGUGUAAGCGCAGCGAUGCGUUGAGCUAACCGGUACUAAUGAACCGUGAGGCUUAACCUUACAACGCCGAAG